GGUGAAGCAGAGCUUGCUCUGUGGACAGUGGCGAACGGGUGAGUAACACGUGAGCAAUCUGCCCCUGACUCUGGGAUAAGCGCUGGAAACGGCGUCUAAUACCGGAUACGAGCUGCGACCGCAUGGUCAGUAGCUGGAAAGAAUUUCGGUCAGGGAUGAGCUCGCGGCCUAUCAGCUUGUUGGUGAGGUAAUGGCUCACCAAGGCGUCGACGGGUAGCCGGCCUGAGAGGGUGACCGGCCACACUGGGACUGAGACACGGCCCAGACUCCUACGGGAGGCAGCAGUGGGGAAUAUUGCACAAUGGGCGCAAGCCUGAUGCAGCAACGCCGCGUGAGGGAUGACGGCCUUCGGGUUGUAAACCUCUUUUAGCAGGGAAGAAGCGAAAGUGACGGUACCUGCAGAAAAAGCGCCGGCUAACUACGUGCCAGCAGCCGCGGUAAUACGUAGGGCGCAAGCGUUAUCCGGAAUUAUUGGGCGUAAAGAGCUCGUAGGCGGUCUGUCGCGUCUGCUGUGAAAACCCGAGGCUCAACCUCGGGCCUGCAGUGGGUACGGGCAGACUAGAGUGCGGUAGGGGAGAUUGGAAUUCCUGGUGUAGCGGUGGGAAUGCGCAAAUUUCAGGAGGAACACCGAUGGCGAAGGCAGAUCUCUGGGCCGUACUGACGCUGAGGAGCGAAAGGGUGGGGAGCAA
rnacentral:rRNA from 1 species